rnacentral:rRNA from 1 species
GACGAACGCUGGCGGCGUGCUUAACACAUGCAAGUCGAACGGAAAGGCCCUGCUUUUGUGGGGUGCUCGAGUGGCGAACGGGUGAGUAACACGUGAGUAACCUGCCCUUGACUUUGGGAUAACUUCAGGAAACUGGGGCUAAUACCGGAUAGGAGCUCCUGCUGCAUGGUGGGGGUUGGAAAGUUUCGGCGGUUGGGGAUGGACUCGCGGCUUAUCAGCUUGUUGGGGGGGUAGUGGCUUACCAAGGCCUUGACGGGUAGCCGGCCUGAGAGGGUGACCGGCCACAUUGGGACUGAGAUACGGCCCAGACUCCUACGGGAGGCAGCAGUGGGGAAUAUUGCACAAUGGGCGGAAGCCAGAUGCAGCAACGCCGCGUGCGGGAUGACGGCCUUCGGGUUGUAAACCGCUUUCGCCUGUGACGAAGCGUGAGUGACGGUAAUGGGUAAAGAAGCACCGGCUAACUACGUG